GAUGAACGCUGGCGGCGUGCCUAAUACAUGCAAGUCGAGCGAACAGACGAGGAGCUUGCUCCUUUGACGUUAGCGGCGGACGGGUGAGUAACACGUGGAUAACCUACCUAUAAGACUGGGAUAACUUCGGGAAACCGGAGCUAAUACCGGAUAACAUGUUGAACCGCAUGGUUCAACAGUGAAAGACGGUCUUGCUGUCACUUAUAGAUGGAUCCGCGCCGCAUUAGCUAGUUGGUAAGGUAACGGCUUACCAAGGCAACGAUGCGUAGCCGACCUGAGAGGGUGAUCGGCCACACUGGAACUGAGACACGGUCCAGACUCCUACGGGAGGCAGCAGUAGGGAAUCUUCCGCAAUGGGCGAAAGCCUGACGGGGCAACGCCGCGUGAGUGAAGAAGGUCUUCGGAUCGUAAAACUCUGUUAUUAGGGAAGAACAAAUGUGUAAGUAACUAUGCACGUCUUGACGGUACCUAAUCAGAAAGCCACGGCUAACUACGUG
rnacentral:rRNA from 1 species